UACGAAGGGUGCAAGCGUUACUCGGAAUUACUGGGCGUAAAGCGUGCGUAGGUGGUUUGUUAAGUCUGUCGUGAAAGCCCCGGGCUCAACCUGGGAAUUGCGAUGGAUACUGGCAGACUAGAGUGUGGCAGAGGGUAGUGGAAUUCCUGGUGUAGCAGUGAAAUGCGUAGAGAUCAGGGGGGAACAUCCGUGGCGAAGGCGACUGCCUGGGCCAACACUGACACUGAGGCACGAAAGCGUGGGGAGCAAACAGG
rnacentral:rRNA from 1 species